rnacentral:rRNA from 1 species
UGUUUCGACUAGGGGGUCAUCCCGACUUACCAACUCGAUGCAAACUGCGAAUACCGAAGAAUGUUAUCACGGGAGACACACGGCGGGUGCUAACGUCCGUCGUGAAGAGGGAAACAACCCAGACCGCCAGCUAAGGUCCCAAAGUCAUGGUUAAGUGGGAAACGAAGUGGGAAGGCUCAGACAGCCAGGAUGUUGGCUUAGAAGCAGCCAUCAUUUAAAGAAAGCGUAAUAGCUCACUGGUCGAGUCGGCCCGCGCGGAAGAUGUAACGGGGCUAAACCAUGCACCGAAGCUGCGGCAGCGACACAAAGUGUUGUUGGGUAGGGGAGCGUUCUGUAAGCCUGCGAAGGUGUACUGUGAGGUAUGCUGGAGGUAUCAGAAGUGCGAAUGCUGACAUAAGUAACGAUAAUGCGGGUGAAAAACCCGCACGCCGGAAGACCAAGGGUUCCUGUCCAACGUUAAUCGGGGCAGGGUGAGUCGACCCCUAAGGCGAGGCUGAAAAGCGUAGUCGAUGGGAAACGGGUUAAUAUUCCCGUACUGGUGGUAACUGCGAUGGGGGAACGGAGAAGGCUAGGUUGUCCGGGCGACGGUCGUCCCGGUUCAAGCAGGUAGGCAGAGUGAUUAGGCAAAUCCGGUCACUU